CGGCGUGCUUAACACAUGCAAGUCGAACGGAAAGGCCCUGCUUUUGUGGGGUGCUCGAGUGGCGAACGGGUGAGUAACACGUGAGUAACCUGCCCUUGACUUUGGGAUAACUUCAGGAAACUGGGGCUAAUACCGGAUAGGAGCUCCUGCUGCAUGGUGGGGGUUGGAAAGUUUCGGCGGUUGGGGAUGGACUCGCGGCUUAUCAGCUUGUUGGUGGGGUAGUGGCUUACCAAGGCUUUGACGGGUAGCCGGCCUGAGAGGGUGACCGGCCACAUUGGGACUGAGAUACGGCCCAGACUCCUACGGGAGGCAGCAGUGGGGAAUAUUGCACAAUGGGCGGAAGCCUGAUGCAGCAACGCCGCGUGCGGGAUGACGGCCUUCGGGUUGUAAACCGCUUUCGCCUGUGACGAAGCGUGAGUGACGGUAAUGGGUAAAGAAGCACCGGCUAACUACGUGCCAGCAGCCGCGGUGAUACGUAGGGUGCGAGCGUUGUCCGGAUUUAUUGGGCGUAAAGGGCUCGUAGGUGGUUGAUCGCGUCGGAAGUGUAAUCUUGGGGCUUAACCCUGAGCGUGCUUUCGAUACGGGUUGACUUGAGGAAGGUAGGGGAGAAUGGAAUUCCUGGUGGAGCGGUGGAAUGCGCAGAUAUCAGGAGGAACACCAGUGGCGAAGGCGGUUCUCUGGGCCUUUCCUGACGCUGAGGAGCGAAAGCGUGGGGAGCGAACAGGCUUAGAUACCCUGGUAGUCCACGCUGUAAACGGUGGGUACUAGGUGUGGGGUCCAUUCCACGGGUUCCGUGCCGUAGCUAACGCUUUAAGUACCCCGCCUGGGGAGUACGGCCGCAAGGCUAAAACUCAAAGGAAUUGACGGGGCCCCGCACAAGCGGCGGAGCAUGCGGAUUAAUUCGAUGCAACGCGUAGAACCUUACCUGGGUUUGACAUGGAUCGGGAGUGCUCAGAGAUGGGUGUGCCUCUUUUGGGGUCGGUUCACAGGUGGUGCAUGGCUGUCGUCAGCUCGUGUCGUGGGAUGUUGGGUUAAGUCCCGCAACGAGCGCAACCCUUGUUCACUGUUGCCAGCACGUUAUGGUGGGGACUCAGUGGAGACCGCCGGGGUCAACUCGGAGGAAGGUGGGGAUGACGUCAAGUCAUCAUGCCCCUUAUGUCCAGGGCUUCACGCAUGCUACAAUGGCUGGUACAGAGAGUGGCGAGCCUGUGAGGGUGAGCGAAUCUCGGAAAGCCGGUCUCAGUUCGGAUUGGGGUCUGCAACUCGACCUCAUGAAGUCGGAGUCGCUAGUAAUCGCAGAUCAGCAACGCUGCGGUGAAUACGUUCCCGGGGCUUGUACACACCGCCCGUCAAGUCAUGAAAGUUGGUAACACCCGAAGCCGGUGGCCUAACCGUUGUGGGGGAGCCGUCGAAGGUGGGACUGGUGAUUAGG
rnacentral:rRNA from 1 species